rnacentral:sRNA from 1 species
AGGCGAAGUAACGCCACCGGCCGCAACCGGACGCGGCCAUUGAACGGCGGCCGACCUCGUCGGGCCGCCGUCCUUUA